rnacentral:rRNA from 1 species
GACGAACGCUGGCGGCGUGCUUAACACAUGCAAGUCGAACGGAAAGGCCCUGCUUUUGUGGGGUGCUCGAGUGGCGAACGGGUGAGUAACACGUGAGUAACCUGCCCUUGACUUUGGGAUAACUUCAGGAAACUGGGGCUAAUACCGGAUAGGAGCCCCUGCUGCAUGGUGGGGGUUGGAAAGUUUCGGCGGUUGGGGAUGGACUCGCGGCUUAUCAGCUUGUUGGUGGGGUAGUGGCUUACCAAGGCUUUGACGGGUAGCCGGCCUGAGAGGGUGACCGGCCACAUUGGGACUGAGAUACGGCCCAGACUCCCACGGGAGGCAGCAGUGGGGAAUAUUGCACAAUGGGCGGAAGCCUGAUGCAGCAACGCCGCGUGCGGGAUGACGGCCUUCGGGUUGUAAACCGCUUUCGCCUGUGACGAAGCGUGAGUGACGGUAAUGGGUAAAGAAGCACCGGCUAACUACGUG